GGAUGCUGACAUACCAUACAAAUGGGGCUACCCCACUCAGAUCAUUGUCAAAAGAAACAGAGUGGAGCAUCAAAUUCAUACCGUCAGAGAAGGCGUCCAAUUGCUGAAGGACUGGAACCUGUCCGUUGCAUCCCAGGACAAGGCAGACCCGCCUGACAAACACCGCAAGUCAUCUACAAAAGUGUCCAAAGACUGGAUAUCUAUGUCUAAACACAAGUGACAGAAACUGAGUUAAAAAUUUUGGUUGCCGUUCUCUGACAUGGACCUGGUUCACAGUCAUAGAGAUACGUGAGCAUAUAUACCUGAAUGUAUCUGAUGUUUUGUUAUGGGUUGAUAAAUAUGUUUUACUGUUAAAUUACCAGACAGGAAUGCUACAUGUACACGUAGAACCGAACGUAGUCAAACGGCCUAACAUUCUAGAUCCCAGACUGCCUUAAGAGCAUGUAAUACCACAAGGGUAUUUGGCAGUUUUUCAAACCUCACAAACACCCUCCCCCACUUUGGCUCCAUAGAGCCGCAAGAUCAUUUCUCAGUAACAGACGGAAAACGUCUGUACUCCAUGUUGUACAAAGUUGCCACUUGGCUGUUUACCCCUCUACCCCUCCCCCCUGCUCACGGGUCACCUAUUUCAUGGCACCCACAAGAAAACUAUCUGACUGGUCAGGUAAAUUCACAGGAAAGGACAAGACAAACAAAAGUAAAGUAACUAUAUUAGAG